GACGUAGGGGGCGAGCGUUAUCCGGAUUCACUGGGCGUAAAGGGCGCGUAGGCGGCGUUUUAAGUCGGGGGUGAAAGCCUGUGGCUCAACCACAGAAUGGCCUUCGAUACUGGGACGCUUGAGUAUGGUAGAGGUUGGUGGAACUGCGAGUGUAGAGGUGAAAUUCGUAGAUAUUCGCAAGAACACCGGUGGCGAAGGCGGCCAACUGGACCAUUACUGACGCUGAGGCGCGAAAGCGUGGGGAGCAAACAGG
rnacentral:rRNA from 1 species